rnacentral:snoRNA from 1 species
AAGACCUUACUUCAUAGGAUCAUUUCUAUAGUAAGUUCUUCACGAGACUUGACUAUCGAUCAAUUUAAAUAGUAUGUGCUACGUAUGAAUAAAACAAGAUUUUCUUUUCGAUUUUUCGAAUUAGUCCGGUUAAUCGAGUUUGCACUGUGGUAUGCUAUGA